UAUUUAAAAACAAAAAACAACAACAACAGAAACAAAACCAUAAGGGAUUCUUUUGGAUUAUAAACAUCUGAAGACACAAUAUUCUUAUGAAUUCCAGCUGGCUAUUCUGGACCCACGGAGGGCAGGCAAGGCUGAAAAGCAAAGCAAAUACACUUCAUACGAAUGUUUACAGAGAAAAAGAGGAGGCAGUCCUACAGGCGAGACUCUACUAAAUGCAAACUGAAACGGAGGGGGCCCAAGCUGAAGGGCGGACAGAAGUCCAAACUGAGAAACCGGAGACACAAGUUCUCCUCAUGGUCCCUUCGCCUCACUAGGCCUCAGUGCCUCAUUGUGAAAACAAAGGCUCAGACCCAAAUGACCACAAAAGUGCCCUUUCCCCAAGGACAGGAGCCUGAGAAGAGCAGUGGCUUGUUUUCCAAGUCCAGUUUGUAGGAACCCGAGUCUUGUACCAAAUGUAAGGCCUUUCGCUCUGUUGGUUUGGGGCCCCUUAGAAGAAGAUAAUGGCUCUUUCAAGGGCAACAGCGGAGGGUAGGGGCUGAAUGGAGCUGCAAGUUCUAUAUACGCAAAAGCCAAGUGGAAACAAAAGGACAAGAACAGCACUGGGGUCAAUGAGGCUUAUUGCCAGGGCCUGCCUGCCCCAGGCCGGAAGUCCUUGCUCCAGACGCACCUCAGCUGGCUGCUUGGAGUUCCAGAGCUGUGGUUCCUGUAACAAGCAACACCUAGGGAGAAGAAUAUUCUAGAAGAGCUUCUGUGGAGGUGGCACUCAGCCUGAGCACAUUCUGCAUCAGUCCUUCCAGAGACUCCUAUAUCUGACAGCGUAUAUAGAUGGCCCGUCUCACCAGCACUACAGGGAGUGUUCCAGAAAUCACUGAAGAGUGAAUCUGCUAAGGUGUCUCCCCGUUCAAAGAUCCUCUAUUUCUGAAUAUAGCAAGAUGUCGAUACUACAACUGAUUUCUGUUUUAUAAACAUAAAACCAGACAACUAAUAAAUAUGCAACAAAACACAACAAAAUGGAUGGAAGACUGCGCACAACUCUGAGCGAGAGGAUUUUGAGAAGCAGAACAAAGGGCAGCAGAAAUUCUCCUGGGAAAAAUUCCCAUUCACCAGGAGUGGGAGAAAUGUGUAACAGCCUGAUGUAAAAUUCUGAUGUCUUAAGCCACACUGAAUGUGAGCAUAUUUAUUCUGGUUUUGUUCUGAAUCAUUUCUCUUCUAAAAGGAAAGCUACUGAACAAAAACAGAACCCUAUUUAAAUGAACAAUACAAAUAUCCUUAAUUAAAAUGUCACUAAUGUGCCCAUAUUAGAAAUGCUUUUAUGCUCAUACACUAUAAAUUUUGGUAGAAAUGAAUGACAUCCAGGCAUAUGAUUUAUGAUUGUGUACAGUAAUAAUUUUUUUUCGUUUGGUGUGUGUGUUCUAUAAGGUACCAGAGAUGCAGGCUUCUUGUGUUAAAGGGUAUUCUUUCCCUACACAAAUGAUUUAUCUUGCUACUUUUGAUGCUAUCAAGUUCUGUUAAAAAAAAAAAAAAAAAAAACCAGAGCCGAACAAACAAAAGAACUUAGCCAACCAUUUAUGGACAGGCGAGGACCACAGUAAAAGAAACGUCCUUGUUACUCUAGAAGUAAUAGUCUUUCUAAACAUAGCCCGACUCUUCCAGAGCGGCCACACCCAUCUCAGUUCCUGGGAUUCUGAAUUCAGGAAGAUCACAACAGCCAAUCCGCUCCCAGAACACAAACAAAACUCUGGCUCAGUUUCUGUCCUGACUCUAUGGCGCAGUCGCCACAGUAACUGAAUACUCAGUGGCAGCCUAGAAAGGCUUCUUCUGAACAGGCUCUGUUGGAUGAUACCAAAGUAUCCCAACUAGGAACAGAGAAGUCUGGCCUCCUUGUCUGGUGUUCACCACUUAGAAUGUGACCCUGAGCAAAUCAUUUGACUUCUCUGUGCCACCACUUCACAAUCGGUAAGAAGAUAAUUACAAACGCUUCCUUUGUAGCACAGUGUAGGUAUGGGAAUCUUCCCAGCACCAUGGACAGGCACUUAAUUCCUUUCCACUUGGAAAGAAUUUCAUCAAAUCAUUUGCAGUGCUUUCUUCCCGGCACCCGUAUUAUGGGUAGCUGAAAGGAUACAACUCAAAUGUUAUGUGGUUUUUCUCUGGGUGGUGGGGUUAUGGAUUACUUUUGUCUUCUUUUCUUAUUUGUAUUUUCCACAGUGAAUAUAUAUUGCUUUUUAUAACUAGAUUGACAAAUACUGCCCAAAUCGCAAAAGAUGGUGAUAGAUGAGCUCAGGUACCCACCACCACCUCUCUCAGGUCCUCAGCACCAUCUACUUUGGGACAUCUGGAAUUCAGGUAGAACUUCCAGAAAAGGAAUGGAGUGCUGCCCCUUCCAAUGUCAAAACAAAAGCAGAACCACACAGCAAUGACAGCACACACCUUAAUAGGUGUUAGCACACAAACAUGAGAGCUGCUCCCCCUUCCCUGGAAGGCUAUGUGGACUCUGCCCUUGGUGGCAAGGGAAAGCUGAAAGCCUGUCUGCAGUCAAGUCUGGGGUCUCAUGCAGGGGUUCGGCUCUAGGGUGGCUCAUGGGAGCCCUAGAAAUGUGGGUCCAAUCUAGCACCUUGUAGGGAGCUCCUGACUCCCUGACUCCCUGAUCUCACACCUGCCUACUUCAUAUGUGCAUCCCCAGGGCAGGACAUUGUUGACAGUAACUGAGGCCAAGUUCACAGACAUGUGUAUAGAUGAUGAUGGGCUUCUCUGAGUCUGUUUCCUCACUGGGUGAAAGCAGGUAUCAGAUAUGAUGACCUCUAAGGUCACACUCAGGGCCAGCAUAUCACAGUUACAUUUGAAAAAUGAUGUGACGUUGUCUCAUUCUUUGUCACUGACUUUAAAAGUAAUUUAAAUAAAUUAAGCACAGGAUCACAAUAACACAUCCUGCCCCAAGAUUUAAACUGAAGUCAUGUGCUUAAUAUGUUCAAUGAUGUGGCUCUUCGAAGACACCGAACUCAUCACUGGUGUUCAGCUCACAGAUGAAGAUGGAAUAUUACAGUACAGUCACGUAGAAUGUUAUAUAUAUGCUUUUGAUGUGCAAUUAUAAUGCUUAGAAUUAGAAUUAGAAUUAGAAAGGCUGAGAUAAAAAGAAAAUAAAAUCCGACUCACUGAAAAUAUCAACAACUGAGUCUGUGUAACAAAGUCUGGGCCUUUAGCUCAAAAAAAAAAAAAAGACACUGUUUGGUUUUAUAUUUUAGUAUAAAUAUGUAGGAUUAGGAACUUCCUCAUAUCCUCAGUUGUCUGAUUAGUAAGAAUGUGAGAUCCACUGUAAUUUUAAAGCACUAUUUGAUAACUCUUUUCCAAAUGAAUACAUUUUUGUAGAAACAAAACGUUUCUGAAUCAGGCCUAAAAUUAACAGUUGUCUGCAAUUAUUUGACUUUACGAAAUACUGAAUAAGCAUGUCAAUUACUUCUGAGAUUAAAAAUUGUAUAGAUAACUUGAGUAUACAAAUCAUUGUUAUAGUAAACCAUAAAAUUCCUAUGUAAUUUAGGAAAUGUUGGUUGCUGAAUAUUUCAUAGAUAGGUAAGUAAGGUGAUCAGUUCAUUUUGAAAGUUACUAGGGGCAUGUGGGUGGCUCAUUUGGUUAAGUGUCCGGCUCUUGAUUCUGGCUCAGGCAUGAUCUCAGGGUGCUGAGUCUAAGCCCUGGACAGGCUCCGUGCUGGCCAUGGAGCUUGUUUAGGAUUCUCUCUCUGGGGACGCUUGGGUGGCUCAGUUGGUUAAGCUGCUGUCUU